GACUGUUUCACCAUGAUGGUCCCGGUGUUUCUUCCGCAGGCUUCAUUUCACUUAACUGACCGACAGACCUCCUGGUUCUUCCCACUUUAACCUGAAUGACAAACCGGGGCUCGGUGGUCCGGUAGGAUCCAAACAGAGAGCCGGAGCUAGCUGAGAGCCGAGCGGAGGCUAACUGGUUAUGCUUCCUUCCGGUCAUGCUGCAGCUAACGCUCCGUUAGCCUUAUUAGCGUCGCCACUUUCUGUAUCCGUCGUUUCAACUUAAAAUCCCUCUAGCAUUUCAUAUAGUCUUAUGGUUGUAAUUUGCAGACGCACAGUGUGCGACUAAAUUAUUUUUCCACUUCGCACAUAUCUAUUUUUAGGUACAAAUGCCAGUGAAAUACUCGCACUGUAUAGCCCUGUGACAGUACACAUUUCAAUCAAACUUUGACCAGGUCAUGUGGGUUAAAAGUGCACAAUUUUGAUGACACAGCUGUGGGCAAGUCAGCCUUAUGUAACAAACAUCAUCCGAUUCACAUGAAAUUUUCAAGGUGUGCUCUACAGUUGAUAUACAGCGACAUGCUGUUUAUUUAAUGCGUGUUUUCUAGCACCACAUAGUGGACACAGGAAAUGAUAUUUAACUCCUUCAUGCAAUGUUAGAUAACAGACAACUAAAGUUACACGUCUUUGUCCAGCAAGUACUCGUGGCACCGUACAUUUAAGCAUACGAUAGACAUGAAGUGUAAUCAAGCAGAUGUCCAGAGCCAUGGAGACAAACUUUGUGAUUCGUCAGCUUCCAGAAAGUCACAGAAAACGCCAUUUUAUGGACGUGAUUGGUGCUACUGGUGGCUCCAUUACUGGGCGUCGUGAUGGCCUGAUGACGUGUCAUCAUGCAAGCUUACAAAAACAGCCUGCUUAAGCUUGGCUCUGCCUACUUGGUCACACCGACAUCGAGAUCGAGGACGAGCAUCUUAACAGACAACGUCCUUCUCUGUUCAAACUCUGACCUUUGUUAGCAGUAUGAUUGGAAAAAAAUGUUGAUGAUUCAUCUCGGUUUAACAAGAAAGAAGAAAACACACUCAUAUGUUUCCAUGGCCUACUGUACUAUUUAUAUUCUGAAGAGGACCCAACGAGGUUAUGUAAUCAAGAUGGUGAAGCCUUCCCGUAUCUCCUGUCCUCUGGCUGUGGGUCCUCCGGGCGCUCCUGCUGUCACAGCGGUUUAGUGUCACAGUGUCCGGGCCGGCAGGGACGCACUCACCUUGACAGGAUCAACUCGGAAAUAAAAUGGCAGACAUGUCGGCCGUCGGGGAUUCUUUCUUUCUUUGGUCUUUUCUUUUCCUUCCUUCUCUAUACAUGUCAUUUCUCUCUAGCUCUCCUUUCUUUUUACCCAUUUCACUCCUUCCCCCUUGUUCCUUCCAUCCAUCUUUCUUUCUUCCAACUUCCUUUGUGUCCCUUUCAUUUCUUCCCUCAAUUUUUCCUCUUGUUCCUUAUUUUGUUGUGCUAUCAUGUGUCCCUUUUUUUUUUCCUUAAUCUUGUUCUUUCAUCUUCUCUUUCUUGCUGUGACCACUCUCUCUCCUUCUUCUGUUCUUUUAACUAAUUCCUCCUCACAAUUCAGUACUUUUUUCUUUUGCUUUCUCCCUCUUUCCUCCAUCUUGCUAUACUGCAGCUACAUUUUCUUGGAGAGGAUUAUUAUGCUCAGCAGACUGUAUGUUGAUUAUAUCUUCAUAUACUGUAAUCUGGGUUUCUGUGCAGACCUGCACCUGACCAGCUAAGUGCUUUGUAGAAAAAAAAAAAAUCACGCCACAGUGAGUUAUUUCUGGCUGGGUUAAUCUUAUUUCUCUGGGCACUUUGAUAAUGGAGAGGACUUGAAUUAUGAAUGGAGUGUAUAAUACUGUUCUUCAGGCCUGCUGAAUGAAUUAAGCAAGAGCUUAUAAGUGAGUUUCUUUGAGUGUCUCUGAUAUAAUGCCCCCACGCCCCUCCUUUGUCCUUUCCAAUCCCACACUCUUGUUUUGUAUUUUUGGAAUCAGAGCAAAGAUAAACACUUCAGAAGAGCUCAGUCUGCGGUGGGAAAAUACUGACAAUAAAAUGAUAUGUAAAAUAUAUGCUGAAAUGUA